rnacentral:rRNA from 1 species
GACAUCCAGCGAACUUUCCAGAGAUGGAUUGGUGCCUUCGGAACGCUGAGACAGGUGCUGCAUGGCUGUCGUCAGCUCGUGUUGUGAAAUGUUGGGUUAAGUCCCGCAACGAGCGCAACCCUUAUCCUUGUUGCCAGCGAUUCGGUCGGGAACGUCAAAGGAGACUGCCGGUGAUAAACCGGAGGAAGGUGGGGAUGACGUCAAGUCAUCAUGGCCCUUACGAGUAGGGCUACACACGUGCUACAAUGGCGCAUACAAAGAGAAGCGACCUCGCGAGAGCAAGCGGACCUCAUAAAGUGCGUCGUAGUCCGGAUCGGAGUCUGCAACUCGACUCCGUGAAGUCGGAAUCGCUAGUAAUCGUGGAUCAGAAUGCCACGGUGAAUACGUUCCCGGGCCUUGUACACACCGCCCGUCACACCAUGGGAGUGGGUUGCAAAAGAAGUAGGUAGCUUAACCUUCGGGAGGGCGCUUACCACUUUGUGAUUCAUGACUGGGGUGAAGUCGUAACAAGGUAAGCGUAGCGAG